GAUGAACGCUAGCGGCAGGCCUAAUACAUGCAAGUCGAACGAUACUUUCCAGCUUGCUGGAGAGGAAAGUGGCGCACGGGUGCGUAACGCGUAUGCAACCUACCUUAAUCAGGGGGAUAGCCCGAAGAAAUUCGUAUUAACACCGCAUAAAAUCACAGUAUAGCAUUAUACAAUGAUCAAAUAUUUAUAGGAUUAAGAUGGUCAUGCGUGACAUUAGUUAGUUGGCGGUAACGGCCCACCAAGACCACGAUGUCUAGGGGAUCUGAGAGGAUGACCCCCCACACUGGUACUGAGACACGGACCAGACUCCUACGGGAGGCAGCAGUAAGGAAUAAUGGUCAAUGGAGGCAACUCUGAACCAGCCAUGCCGCGUGCAGGAAGACAGCCCUCUGGGUCGUAAACUGCUUUUAUUCGGGAAUAAACCUAUCUACGUGUAGAUAGCUGAAUGUACCGAAGGAAUAAGGAUCGGCUAACUCCGUGCCAGCCGCCGCAGUAA
rnacentral:rRNA from 1 species